UACGUAGGCAGCGAGCGUUGUUCGGAGUUACUGGGCGUAAAGGGUGUGUAGGCGGUUCUUUAAGUUUGGUGUGAAAUCUCCCCGGCUCAACCGGGAGGGUGCGCCGAAUACUGAGGGACUAGAGUGCGGGAGAGGAAAGUGGAAUUCCUGGUGUAGCGGUGGAAUGCGCAGAUAUCAGGAGGAACACCUAUUGCGAAGGCAGCUCGCUGGGACGUAACUGACGCUGAGACGCGAAAGCGUGGGGAGCAAACAGG
rnacentral:rRNA from 1 species